UGCAGCCAGUCAAAUUCGGUGCCAGCCCCCCCGUGGCAGGGACCGGCCCGCGGCUGCCACAGUGACAUCCGUGCCACGAGCCCCGUGUCCCCCCGUGGGCCCGGGGGGUGAAUCCACUGGAGACACAG